rnacentral:rRNA from 1 species
CCCUUAGAUGUUCUGGGCCGCACGCGUGCUACACUGAGUGGAUCAGCGGGUCAGGUUGCGCGAAAGCGUUUCCUAAUCUUUAAAUCCGCUCGUGAUGGGGAUUGACGGUUGCAAUUUUCUGUCAUGAACGAGGAAUACCUUGUAAGCGCGGGUCAUCAUCCCGCGCUGAAUACGUCCCUGCCCUUUGUACACACCGCCCGUCGCACCUACCGAUUGAAUGGUUCGGUGAAGAUCUCGGACUUCGAUAUUCAUUCUUUAUUGAGUUUAUAUUGUGGGAAGUUAUCUAAACCUCAUCAUUUAGAGGAAGGUGAAGUCGUAACA